AUCAAAGUAUCAAAGCAACACUUCUUUUUAUAGUCAACAUGACAGACUAACCAAGACAAAGUGGUCUCUGUGUGCUAAGCACUGUGCUUAUGCACUGAAUCAUCAUUUCAUCCUCAGAACUACCCUUUAUCAGGUCAAAUGAAAAGCCAAUCACAGAAGACAUUUUCCUGCCCUCACCUGUAAGCUUCAUCUAAAGACAUGUCCAUCCUCUUCAUGAUGUAGGCGAUAGCGAUGGUGGCGGAGCGGGAGAUCCCAGCUAAACAGUGCACUAGGACACAUCCAUUGGAGGCUUUUGCUUUCUCUGUAUAAGUCAAAUGCAAGAAAGGUCACUACUAACUAUUUUGUUCAGCAGUGAAAUCUUGUUUCCAUUUACUUACUCAGUAUCUUCCACCUGAAAACCUCUACGCAAAUCUCAUCUGUGUAUAUCAUAUUUAUCCUCGCAAUAUUCUUUUGAGGAGGCAGGGGAAGAUAAUUCCCUCACCAUUGACAUGCAGGACAACUGGGGUCCAAAACUGUUUGUUAAUAACCAAUUCGUUAAUAAGCAAGCUACUACUAACUCAGGUUUCCUGACUUAUGUUAGUAUUUUCCCCUAAGAUAUGGGUAAUAUUUAAUAUAUUCCUGUUAUCUGACACUUCAAAUUUUUCCCUGAUUACCUAAGAAAUAUAAUUACAUUUUUUAAAAUUAUUAUUACUAUUUCGAGAUAGAGUCUUGCUCUGUCGCCCAGGCUGGAGUGCACGAUGUCGGCUCAUUGCAAUCUCCGCCUCCCGGAUUCAAGUGAUUCUCCUGCCUUAGCCUCCAGAGUAGCUGGGAUUACAGGUGUGCAGCACCAUGCCUGGCUAAUUUUUCUAUUUUUAGUGGAGUCGUCGUUUCACCAUGUUGGGCAGGCUGGUCUCUAACUCCUGGCCUCAAGUGAUCCAUCCACCUCAGCCUCCCAAAGUGCUGGGAUUACAGGAGUGAGCCACUGCCCCUGGCCUCCCUAUUUUAAGCAACUUUUCUGUAUGUCAUAAAAUGGCUUAACUUUAUUUACUGAGUUUUAGAAGAAAACCUUGUAUAGGCUAUGAAUCAGGUUUAGCAGGUCACUUUAAUGAGAUCCAAGAUAACUUUUAUCCCUUCCUUGAUACCAGGAGUUAUUGUCUUAUGGCAUUAUCUCAAUUCCCCACAACAUGAUGGAAGGACUCACGGACACUUUGUUAGAACCAAAGAACCAGGGAAAUCCAAGCAGUGCUGCCAUCUCUCACUGCUGAGGGGCUUAACAAUAUGUACAUGUGGCAGGGGACGAGGUUAUUCCACACAGCCUGGAAGCUACUAACAUUCUGGCCAGUUCCAUGACUGCCUCAAUUCUAAAUAAUUACAUGUGUGCUCAGUCAUGAAGCUGAAUUCUCCCCUUUUCAUUCUUGGUAGAUACUACCAAAAGUCUACUGAACCUUGUGUUAAAAUUCUUGCGAUUAACAGAUGCGCAAAGAAUCUUACUUUGGCAGCUGAAUAAUACAAAGCUAUUCAAUCUCACUGCCUAUGCUAUAAAUAUAAGUUUCUAGUGUAAUGAUUAUUAUAUAUAACAUAAUUAUUCAUCAUAUAUAAAGCAACAUACAGGUUUUGGGUAGUAUAUGAAUAAUUAAGCAGCAAGCAGCUUCCCUUCUAGAUCGGGAAACCAAACACAAUAAAACAAUAACAAAUGAAUACCAAGCAACACUCAAACAAAGAAUUGCAUGCUAUACAAGUAAGAACAUAUAAACUCGUGUACACAGUCUCAUGCCUUCCUGUGCCUCCAGCGUCCCCUUCCUUCUCAGCUAUCAUUUACCCCACGUUACUCUCAGUGUUUCCUUCCCUUUCUGCCCUGCUGCUAAGAAGCUCAAAGCUAAGGUUUCUACUCAAUUUCAAUAAGUAGCAAUUCAGACUUUUUGUCAGUUACUGUAUAUUUCCUAGCCCCUAUUACUUGAUUAUUGCUCCUUUAUACCAUUAUAAUGUGUAUGUGUGAGAAUAUGUGUAUCUUUUGGUUCUAACCUAUUAUUGAAAACUGCUUCAAAUCCUUACUGGAAGGAGUCUGGGUUUUUGUUUUUUUAAUGUUGACAAUACUCUCUCAUUAAUUUUAAUAAUUAUCUAUCUCAAAACCUAGAUUAUAAGGACCUAGAAGGAUCCUGCUUGCUUCUAACAAUCCCCCAAAAGAUUUAACACUAGGCACAUGGUAGGCAUCCAGCUGAUACUGGCUGAUACAUAUUUUCAAAAGAGAUUUUAAUAAAAAAAGAAGGCGGCUGGAAGGAAAUAAAACAAUGACAGUAACAUGCGUUACGAUGUUGAGGUUAUAGGUUUCCUUUUCUCUGUUUUUCAAAUUUUCUGCAAUGUGCUUACAACUGUUUUUAUAACCACAACUCUUUUGAUGACGUCUUUUAAAAAUGAAAAAAACAAGUGACUAUACUGGAGUUGAGGUUCACCAGCACGCAUCUUGGGAGACAUGAGCCCUAAACUGUGUCUUCAAGCAAAGGAAUUAAUUUAACACACAGAACUGGCAGAGAGGAGAAGGGAAAUGUGUGCGAGAGAGGAGAAGGGAAAUGUGUGCGAGAAAGCCCUGCAGUGGGACUGAGCAAAGUGCUCAUUCGAAAACAGCCUGCCUUGGAGAAGAAACCAGAGAGAAGGUUUCAAAGGUGGGAAGCAGGUGUUUGAGGGUGGUGGGAAUGUUAGGCUAAGGGCUACAUUUGUUUUUUCAGACAGGGUCUCACUCUGUUCAUCCAGGCUGGAGUGCCAUAGUGCAAACAUAGCUCACUGUAACUGUGAGCUCCUAGGCUCAAGCGAUCCUCCUGCCUCAGCCUCCCAGCUAGGACUACAGGUGCACACCACCAUGCCUGGCUAAUUUUUAAAAAUUUUUUGUAGAGACAGGAUCUUGCUAUGUUGACUAGGCUGGUGUCAAACUCCUGGCCUCAAGCAAUCCUCCUGCCUCCGCUUCCCAAAGUGCUGUGAUUACACACGCUGCACCUGGCCAAGGCUACCUUUUUAAUGUAGAAAACUAAGAAGCCUCUUCAGGUUUCUGAAUAAAGAACGAGAAGACAAUGAUGAUGAAAACUGGAAACAAGCAGGUGGCCAUUACCGCAAUUAAGGCUAAAAUCUAGGUUAAGAAAGGGGAGAGAGAACUGCAAAUGAAAAGGGCAAAGAUGCAGUGAGGAUGAGAAGUUACAAAAGCUAAAAAGAAGGAAGUAAUACUAAGAGGGGUUACAGAGUCCAGCUCAAAGGACAGAAAAAAGGAGGAACUUCAGAUAACAAUUUUUAAAAUAUUUAUUAACAGCAAAUUAUGAGUCGGG
rnacentral:lncRNA from 1 species